GAUGAACGCUGGCGGCGUGCCUAAUACAUGCAAGUCGAGCGAACAGACGAGGAGCUUGCUCCUCUGACGUUAGCGGCGGACGGGUGAGUAACACGUGGAUAACCUACCUAUAAGACUGGGAUAACUUCGGGACACCGGAGCUAAUACCGGAUAAUAUAUUGAACCGUAUUGUUCAAUAGUGAAAUACGGUUUUGCUGUCACUUCUAGAUGGAUCCGCGCCGCAUUAGCUAGUUGGUAAGGUAACGGCUUACCAAGGCAACGAUGCGUAGCCGACCUGAGAGGGUGAUCGGCCGCACUGGAGCGGAGACACGGUCCAGGCGCCUACGGGAGGGAGCAGUAGGGAAUCUGCCGCAAUGGGCGAAAGCCUGACGGAGCAACGCCGCGUGAGUUAUGAAGGUCUUCGGAGCGUAAAACUCUGUUAUGAGUGAAGAACAAAUGUGUAAGUAACUAUGCACGUCUUGACGGUACCUGAUCAGAAAGCCACGGCUAACUACGUG
rnacentral:rRNA from 1 species